CCUGGUGGCUCAGAGGUUAAAGUGUCUGCUUGGAAUACAGGAGACCAGGGUUCGAUCCCUGGGUCAGGA
rnacentral:tRNA from 1 species